UACGUAGGGUGCAAGCGUUACUCGGAAUUACUGGGCGUAAAGUGUGCGCAGGCGGCAUUGCAAGUCGAGUGUGAAAGCCCCGGGCUUAACUUGGGAAUUGCGCUCGAAACUACGUGGCUGGAGUGUGGCAGAGGAAGGUGGAAUUCCACGUGUAGCGGUGAAAUGCGUAGAGAUGUGGAGGAAUACCGAUGGCGAAGGCAGCCCCCUGGGAUAACACUGACGCUCAUGCACGAAAGCGUGGGGAGCAAACAGG
rnacentral:rRNA from 1 species